AUUGAACGCUGGCGGCAGGCUUAACACAUGCAAGUCGAGCGGGGGAAGGUAGCUUGCUACCGGACCUAGCGGCGGACGGGUGAGUAAUGCUUAGGAAUCUGCCUAUUAGUGGGGGACAACAUCUCGAAAGGGAUGCUAAUACCGCAUACGUCCUACGGGAGAAAGCAGGGGAUCUUCGGACCUUGCGCUAAUAGAUGAGCCUAAGUCGGAUUAGCUAGUUGGUGGGGUAAAGGCCUACCAAGGCGACGAUCUGUAGCGGGUCUGAGAGGAUGAUCCGCCACACUGGGACUGAGACACGGCCCAGACUCCUACGGGAGGCAGCAGUGGGGAAUAUUGGACAAUGGGGGGAACCCUGAUCCAGCCAUGCCGCGUGUGUGAAGAAGGCCUUAUGGUUGUAAAGCACUUUAAGCGAGGAGGAGGCUACUUUAGUUAAUACCUAGAGAUAGUGGACGUUACUCGCAGAAUAAGCACCGGCUAACUACGUGCCAGCAGCCGCCGUAA
rnacentral:rRNA from 1 species